ACAGACCACGGAUGUCUGCAGGGGACAAGAAAAGAGCCGCUCCGCUGGAUGGAGGCCAUGCAGAGAUGCACUCCUCUGGAUCUCUGCACAUUUUCCACUGCAGUCAAAUAAAAACCUGAUUUUAUGUGCAGAAUAUGGGCCAUUGAAGCAAGCAACUAUAAACCUAAGGGGGACUGGCCAUUUCCCUGGCAGACAGUGGCCAUCUGGCCGAGGGGUUUGGAGACAGACGCUGUCUGUUGAGCACUAUAACCCUUAUCUCCAUGCCACGUCUCAAAUGCCCCUGCCACUCUCUUGGGUCUCCCUUCACACCGGAAGAGACACUCUGACAUGGAUGAGAGAAGACAGACGGGAUAUCUGGCAUGGUUGGGACUGAAGAGAGAAUGCAAGAGAGGAGUAAAAAAAAAUAAAAAAUCACUGUUGUCAGCUGGCCAAACCAAGCAGACACAUAUCAUCAUUCUAUUGGGCACAGAUCCAAAUCAAUAUCUUGUUACUGACAAAGCUAGUAGGUUUGAUGUAUGCUGUUUUCUGCCUCAGGUUUAUCACACAGAUCAUCAGUCCUGAGGUGUGAACAUCUACAGAAACAUCAGUUGUGAUGGUGUGUGGCAGUAGCUCAUGGUUAGGGAAGUGUGUUGGUUCACUGACGGUGGCUCAUCACACAUUUUCAAGUCUGUCUCAGUUCUGUUCUUGGUAGAUGAAAGGCCUUUUAACUAUAAAUCAGGGCAUGCAGUAAUUUCUUCUUUGGGCUCAAAACAGGGCAGCUUGUUGAAGAUGUGAAGAUAUGCACACACACAGUACACAUACUGUCAACACAAUGGAGCACGAUGUGA